GCUUUGUUAGUAUAGUGGUCUAUGCACCUGCUUAGUUAACCUACCAAUUAUGACGACAGCAGGUUACUGGGUUCGAUUCCCUGACAAAGCC